CUUUUCAUCUAUACCAGAAGAUUAAAGGAGGUUAUUGCUUGGAAAACUGCUCGAGCUCUCGGGCUGGCAUGCACUGCAGGUACAGUGAAAUCAAUUAUGCAGGUUCUUGAAGAAAGUCAUGGAUGACAACAAUGUAUGAUUUACCAGACCAAGGGAUCCCAAUGUUUUUUUGACGGCUCCAGCUACUCAGCUUACUGUGAGAGAGUUAACACCUUAUUGACAUAUCUUUCAUGAAGAAGAAACACUUGAGAAGAGUUCAAGAGUUAAAUUUUAUAGAUGCAUGUUAUCUUCAAAAUGAG